AAGGAUCAUUACAAAUCAUGUUCACUGGUCAGGCUUGUUUGUCUGGCUGGGUGAACACAUUGGCACAGGGCAGCAGCACUGCAAGGUGACGCUGCCUUGAUGUUUACGCUUGUUUGUUUGACAGAGUAAAGUGAAGCUAAAAUAUAGACAACUUUUAACAAUGGAUCUCUUGGCUCUU
rnacentral:misc_RNA from 1 species